UUCUAGCCCCGGUAGUAGCGGCAUCCUUUUAUGACUGCCUUUGCAGGAAUAAAAGAUACAGCGGAUGACGGGAAAAAGC
rnacentral:sRNA from 1 species